UGAGUCCCAGUGGUCAGAGCAUG
rnacentral:misc_RNA from 1 species